rnacentral:rRNA from 1 species
GUGCCAGCAGCCGCGGUAAGACGAAGGUGGCGAGCGUUGUUCGGAAUCACUGGGCAUAAAGCGCACGUAGGCGGUGCCGUAAGUCGGAUGUGAAAUCCCUCGGCCUAACCGAGGAACUGCGUCCGAUACUGCGGUGCUUGAGGAUCAGAGGGGUGCAUGGAAUUUCCGGUGGAGCGGUGAAAUGCGUUGAUAUCGGAAGGAACUCCGGCGGCGAAAGCGAUGCACUGGCUGAUUUCUGACGCUGAGGUGCGAAAGCCAGGGGAGCAAACGGGAUUAGAAACCCCCGUAGUCC